rnacentral:tRNA from 1 species
GGUUUGAUGUUUGGGAAACACUGGACCUUGAACGU